AUUGAACGCUGGCGGCAGGCUUAACACAUGCAAGUCGAGCGGGGUGAUGGUGCUUGCACUAUCACUUAGCGGCGGACGGGUGAGUAAUGCUUAGGAAUCUGCCUAGUAGUGGGGGACAACAUCUCGAAAGGGAUGCUACUACCGCAUACGUCCUACGGGAGAAAGCAGGGGAUCACUUGUGACCUUGCGCUAAUAGAUGAGCCUAAGUCGGAUUAGCUAGGUGGUGGGGUAAAGGCCUACCAAGGCGACGAUCUGUAGCGGGUCUGAGAGGAGGAUCCGCCACACUGGGACUGAGACACGGCCCAGACUCCUACGGGAGGCAGCAGUGGGGAAUAUUGGACAAUGGGGGGAACCCUGAUCCAGCCAUGCCGCGUGUGUGAAGAAGGCCUUAUGGUUGUAAAGCACUUUAAGCGAGGAGGAGGCUCUUUUGGUUAAUACCCAAGAUGAGUGGACGUUACUCGCAGAAUAAGGACCGGCUAACUACGUGCCAGCCGCCGCAGUAA
rnacentral:rRNA from 1 species